rnacentral:rRNA from 1 species
UGGGAGGUAAAUUUCUCCUAAGGCUAAAUAACGGCGAGAGACCGAUAGCGAACAAGUACCGUGAGGGAAAGAUGAAAAGAACUUUGAAAAGAGAGUUAAACAGUACGUGAAAUUGUUGAAAGGGAAACGAUUGAAGCCAGUCGUACCUAUGGGUAAUCAGCCUUUUGGGUGUGAUUUUGUGGAGCGUGAGGAGUUAAACGCCUUCAUGCCUGCAUAUUCGUGCACUUUGGGUGUACUUGCCCGUGUGUAAGUUAACAUCAAUUUUGGUGGUCGUAAAAUGGCUGGAGGAAUGUAGCUUCGAUCUUGUAUUGAAGUGUUAUAGCCUUCGGUAGAUGUGACGAUCGGGAUUGAGGAUUGCAACGGAUACCCUUCGGGGCUACCUGUCUGAUCUCUGAUUGUUGCUCUGGUACCGAAAGCUGCUUACGGUUAUCAAAGUCGAUGGUCAAUAGGUUAGAACGGGUUAAAUUCGUUAAGGAUGUUGACGUAAUGGCUUUAAACGACCCGUCUUGAAACACGGACCAAGGAGUCUAACAUAUAUGCGAGUGUUAGGGUGAAUAAACCCUUACGCGUAAUGAAAGUAAUUUUGGUGGGAUCACUUUUGUGCACCAUCGACC